UUUUGAUAUAAUGACAUUGAUAAGUAAAUAUGUAUUAUUUAUAUAAGGAAUAUGGUGAAAAACCAUAGCAGCCCCCGCUACUGUAAUCGUGGACGAGGAGAUAUAACCACUGGAAUUUUUUUUCUGGGAAGGAUCUCUAAGGUUGAAGCGAGAGCCAGGAUACUUAUUAAAUAAUAUUAUUCAAG
rnacentral:ncRNA from 2 species